rnacentral:rRNA from 1 species
UCAGGACGAACGCUGGCGGCGUGCCUAAUACAUGCAAGUCGAGCGCGGGAAGCAAGUAAUCACCCUUCGGGGUGUGAGCUUGUGGAACGAGCGGCGGACGGGUGAGUAACACGUGGGCAACCUGCCUGCAAGAUUGGGAUAACUCCGGGAAACCGGAGCUAAUACCGAAUAAUACGUUUCAUCACAUGGUGGAACGUUGAAAGAUGGCUUCGGCUAUCACUUGCAGAUGGGCCCGCGUCGCAUUAGCUAGUUGGUGGGGUAAUGGCCUACCAAGGCGACGAUGCGUAGCCGACCUGAGAGGGUGAUCGGCCACACUGGGACUGAGACACGGCCCAGACUCCUACGGGAGGCAGCAGUAGGGAAUCUUCCGCAAUGGACGAAAGUCUGACGGAGCAACGCCGCGUGAGUGAUGAAGGUUUUCGGAUCGUAAAACUCUGUUGUUAGGGAAGAACAAGUACCGUUCGAAUAGGGCGGUGCCAUGACGGUACCUAACCAGAAAGCCCCGGCUAACUACGUGCCAGCAGCCGCGGUAAUACGUAGGGGGCAAGCGUUGUCCGGAAUUAUUGGGCGUAAAGCGCUCGCAGGCGGUCUUUUAAGUCUGAUGUGAAAGCCCACGGCUUAACCGUGGAGGGUCAUUGGAAACUGGA